rnacentral:piRNA from 1 species
UGCACCUUCUUGAGGUAUCUGCCAACUCAC